AGCUCUAUACGCUAAGUUAGGCGGACCGUCUCAUAAUCGGUUGGUAGCAUAGAUGCUUAGAGUUU
rnacentral:tRNA from 1 species